GCAUUGGUGGUUCAGUGGUAGAAUCCUUGCCUGCCACGCGGGGGGCCCGGGUUCGAUUCCCGGCCAGUGCA
rfam:Ciona savignyi cont_36947, whole genome shotgun sequence.